GGGUUCCUAGACCCACUCUGGGUCGCAGGCUGUCGGUCCUUUUGUCCGUCUGUGUCUGGGGAGGAGGCCAGGGGCU
rnacentral:miRNA from 1 species